AAUGGACGAAAGUCUGACCGAGCAAUGCCGCGUGAACGAUGAAGGUCUUCGGAUUGUAAAGUUCUGUUGUUAGGGAAGAAUAGUAUAACUAGGAAAUGAGUUAUAUUUGACGGUACCUUACUAGAAAGCUCCGGCUAACUAUGUGCCAGCAGCCGCGGUAAUACAUAGGGAGCAAGCGUUAUCCGGAAUUAUUGGGCGUAAAGAGUGCGUAGGUGGUUUAUUAAGUCUGGUGUGAAAUUUCACGGCUUAACUGUGAAGGGUCAUUGGAAACUGGUAAACUUGAGUACGGUAGAGGUGAGUGGAAUUCCAAGUGGAGCGGUGGAAUGCGUAGAUAUUUGGAGGAACACCAAUGGCGAAGGCAGCUCACUGGGCCGGAACUGACACUGAUGCACGAAAGCGUGGGGAGCAAA
rnacentral:rRNA from 1 species